AGAGUUUGAUCAUGGCUCAGGACGAACGCUGGCGGCGUGCUUAACACAUGCAAGUCGAGCGGUAAGGCCUUUCGGGGUACACGAGCGGCGAACGGGUGAGUAACACGUGGGUGAUCUGCCCUGCACUUCGGGAUAAGCCUGGGAAACUGGGUCUAAUACCGGAUAUGACCUCCUAUCGCAUGGUGGGUGGUGGAAAGAUUUAUCGGUGCAGGAUGGGCCCGCGGCCUAUCAGCUUGUUGGUGGGGUAAUGGCCUACCAAGGCGACGACGGGUAGCCGACCUGAGAGGGUGACCGGCCACACUGGGACUGAGACACGGCCCAGACUCCUACGGGAGGCAGCAGUGGGGAAUAUUGCACAAUGGGCGAAAGCCUGAUGCAGCGACGCCGCGUGAGGGAUGACGGCCUUCGGGUUGUAAACCUCUUUCAGCAGGGACGAAGCGCAAGUGACGGUACCUGCAGAAGAAGCACCGGCUAACUACGUGCCAGCAGCCGCGGUAAUACGUAGGGUGCAAGCGUUGUCCGGAAUUACUGGGCGUAAAGAGUUCGUAGGCGGUUUGUCGCGUCGUUUGUGAAAACCAGCAGCUCAACUGCUGGCUUGCAGGCGAUACGGGCAGACUUGAGUACUGCAGGGGAGACUGGAAUUCCUGGUGUAGCGGUGAAAUGCGCAGAUAUCAGGAGGAACACCGGUGGCGAAGGCGGGUCUCUGGGCAGUAACUGACGCUGAGGAACGAAAGCGUGGGUAGCGAACAGGAUUAGAUACCCUGGUAGUCCACGCCGUAAACGGUGGGCGCUAGGUGUGG
rnacentral:rRNA from 1 species